AAGGAUCAUUGAAUCUAUCACAAUCCACAACCGUGAACCAUACUGUUGGCCUCCACUUUCCUUCGGGACUGUGGGCUGGGCCUGCUUGAUUAAGUUCGGGCAAGGCUCAGGGCCUUGGCAUUGCCUUUACGGGCUUUGUCAGGGUUGGUCUUUAUUAACCCACUAACACCAAACCAAAACAAUACAUCAAAUUCGAGUGAAGGCUUAGAGCCUGACCUCAUUAACCAAGACAACUCUCAACAACGGAUAUCUUGGCUCUC
rnacentral:misc_RNA from 1 species